GACGAACCGUACGAACGUUAUUCGGAAUCACUGGGCUUAAAGGGUGCGUAGGCGGCGCGGAAAGUUGGGUGUGAAAGCCCUCGGCUCAACCGAGGAACUGCGCCCAAAACUGCCGUGCUUGAGGGAGACAGAGGUGAGCGGAACUAAGGGUGGAGCGGUGAAAUGCGUUGAUAUCCUUAGGAACACCGGUGGCGAAAGCGCUCUGCUAGGCCGCAACUGACACUGAGGGACGAAAGCUAGGGGAGCGAAUGGG
rnacentral:rRNA from 1 species